rnacentral:rRNA from 1 species
GACGAACGCUGGCGGCGUGCCUAACACAUGCAAGUCGAACGGUGAAGCGCGUUCCUUUGGGGCGGGUGUGGGUGAGGGGCGAACGGGUGCGUAACACGUGAGUAACCCGCCCCCUUCUGCGUGCUAACAGCAGGAAAGUGCGGCUAAUACGGGAUAUAUUGGGUCUGGCGCAUGAUGGGUCGGGGUAGGUAGUUGUUUCGGUGAGGGAUGGGCUAGGUGCCUAUCAGCUGGUUGGCGGGGUGAAGGCUUAGCAAGGCGGGGACGGGUAGCCGGCCUGGGAGGGUGGCAGGUCUGGCUGGGGCUGAGACACGGCCCAGCCUGCUACGGGAGGCGGCAGUGGCUCAUAUUGGACGAUGCGGUGGAGACUGAUGCAGAGUGGCCGCGUGAGGGAUGGAGCCCUUCGGGGUGUGAACCUAUUGCGCCAGUGAUGUAGACCUGCCUCGUUUGUGAGUGUAUUGACGGUACCUGGAGAAGAAGCUCCGGCUAACUACGUG